GACAGCCCCUCACACCCCGGUGGGACAUUCCACACCCUGGCCAGGUGGCAUAGCAGUGCCAGACGGAGGGGUCCACUGAGGAGAGUAGAAGAAACUACAGAAUCCCCUAGGAGAAAUUCCUAAUCGGUGAUGCUCACCUCACCCCAGACCAGAGCUGGAAGAGUGGGAGGGAUGUAGGCUGGGGCCCAGUGGAGUCAAGUGACAGCAGAAAGGGGGCUGGAGCCGACUGGAAUGCGGGGCUUGGAGCUGAGAUUCCCAGGGGCCUGAGAGGGAAAUCCCAGCCAUCCAGGGGCCCCCAGAACAGCACCAGAGACUGUGCUUGUCCACCCCCCUCCCGCGGCUCCCAGAGCCCAUCCCACAUCUCCUGCAUCACUCCCAACUCCAGAUGCCCCCUUGUCCUGAACCCCCAGGGGACCCUCUAUCCCUCCCCCAUCUAUGCCCUCCCAUCCAGGGCUUCCCUCCCCUUCUAGCCAAUGGCCUCCUGAUGCCCAGGAAGGAGAGGAGGGAAACAGCUGAAAAAACGUGAGGAGAGGCACGUAGGAAAGAGUAGCUGGGGCUGCCAACCACCCAGCCACUGCAGGGAAGCCCAGCAGGACCUGUGAGAGGGGGACGGAGCAGAUGGGUCCCACACACCAAUGGCAGUCCCCUUCCCAGGAGAUGCAGCUGCCUCUGGGGCAGGCCACUGGGGCAGCAGCUGGGGACAGUGGGAACUGACUGGUGGGGGGCAGGGUGAGGGGACGGGCAAGGGCUUGGGUGUGAAUCAGAGCUUGAUUCCACCGAGGACAAAUGGGGAACUGAGGCCCAGGAGUGGAAGGAGGAGGAAGAGAGGACAAAAGCACUGCGAGGAGGAUGAACAGAGUUCAGCUGUGGAGGGCCCAGUGGAUGGGGACUCAGAAGCAGGAGAGCAACUGAGGCCAAGGCUGAGGGGAACGGGGUCACAGAAAGGAAGGGAGGAGGCACACUGAGCCACACACAGCAAAAUACAGGAAGGCAGAAGUUUGGGGAGAAAGGAGCUAGAGGUGGGGUUGCUCUGGAGGGCAGGAAAAUCAGGAGCUCUGAGAGGCUGGGGAAAGAGGAGGGAUACUAAGGCACAGGGGCUGACAUGGCAUGGGGCGAUGACAAGUGUGAAAGGCUAGAAAGGAAGGGUAAACUGCGGAGCAGACUAGGGCAGACAAAGGCCCAAAACUGAAUCAAACCCAUUUCUGGGCAGCAGGACACAGAGGCCCCAGACCUCCCUCUGGGGACACUCAAACCCCUCAGCCCAUCUGCUGCACCAUGGGCCCCAAUUUUUCUUCCUUCCCCUCCUCCUGCCCACCAUGCACCCUCUUCCCACUACACCCCCAGCCUGGCCACCUGGUCCCUCCCUGAGGAGGAAGGACGCAGCUCCAGUCUCUACUCCCGCCCUCCCCGUUCAGCUCUGGCUUCUACCCUCUCACCUCCAGCUCAGGGUUCCCCUGGGUCCCAGUCCCUCCAGUCUCAGGCCUUAGGGGUUCCGGGUCUGGGGCUGCCAAGGCUGCCUGGCUUUGUCUGCCCAUCCCAGGGCAGGGAGCAGCUGCCCCAGCCAGCUGUGGCCGGCUUCGACGUGACCAUGGCAACCCAGCCUGAUCCCCUUCACCGAGCCUCCAGCCCUCACAGAGAGGGAGGGAGCAGCCUGGCUGGGAGAGAGGGAAGGGGGCAGAGCAAAGGGAGACUGCAGACAAAGAGAUCCCAAACAAAGGGAGCUGAAGGGAGGCCGCGAGGAAGGGAGCAGUGGCUAGCUGUGGCUGCAGGCUUAGGCAGUGAAGCUUGGUCCUGCGGAGGGGGAGAGCCCAAGCAAGAGGGACAGACAAACGGAAGAAUUUUGCACUCUGAGGAGCACCAGAAUACCAGUUCCUACUUGGCUGCCCCGAAGCAUUACAUGAUGCAAUUAUUUCAGCCUAGCAAGACAGAAAACUGAGACAAUCAUGGCUCUAUCCCAGCCAAACACCGUGGAAAAAAUAAAUACAGCUCCAUUCCCCACUCCCGUCAGCAAAGGCUGAGUGAGGAGCCCUCCACUUCUUCUGAUACCUGGCUGUGACAGGAUGCCUGGUCUUGAGUGAGCGCCUCUUCUCCCUUCCCUGGGGGUGUAUCCAAGAAGACUAAGGAAGGAUCCCAGACUUUCCUCCCUGCCCAAUAGUAAAAAGCCCUCACUAUGGGGCUGUUUUUUUUCAGAACUGAAAAGUACCAUAACCAAAAUAAGAAGUUCACUGAAUGGGUUCCCCAGCAGAAUGGAGAGGACCCAUGUGGUUAUAAGUAGAGAUCAAAUGUGCCAAAAGACAUACAGCUACAGAUUCAAGGGACUGAGAAAACCACAAACAGAAUAAAUUUAAAGAGAUCCAAAUCAGGACACAUCAUAAUGAAACUCCUGAAAACCAAAGACAGAAAAUCUUGAGAGCAGCAUGGAAUGACACAUGACCUGUAGGGGAAAACUAUUCAAGUGAGAGAAACUGUGGAAGCCAGCAGGAAGUGGCACAACAUUUUCCAAGUGCUGAAGGAAAAGAACUGUCAGGCCAGAAUCCUACAUUCAUGAAAACUAUCCUUCAGCAGUGAAGGGAAAACAAGACCUUUUUGGAAGAAAGAAAACUAAAAGAAUUUGUCGUCAGCCGAUCUACUCUAAAGAAGCACUGAAAUAAAUUACUGAGACAGGAAGGAGAUGAUAAAAGAAGGAAUCUUGGAAUAUCAGUAAGAAAAAGAACAAGCAAAAAAAAAAAAUAGGGUUAUACUU